CAGAAGAUAGUUUAGUUAAAAUGUUGGCUUUGGGGGCCAAAGAUGGGCUUGAUUGUUCUCUUUUGA
rnacentral:tRNA from 1 species